rnacentral:rRNA from 1 species
CCUACGGGCGGCUGCAGUGGGGAAUAUUGCACAAUGGGGGAAACCCUGAUGCAGCGACGCCGCGUGAGUGAAGAAGUAUUUCGGUACGUAAAGCUCUAUCUGUAGGGAAGAAAAUGACGGUACCUGUCUAAGAAGCCCCGUCUAAUUACGUGCCAGCAGCCGCGGCAAUACGUCGGGGGAAGCGUUAACCGGGAUUAUGGGGUGGAAAGGGAGCGUAGACGGCAGCGCAAGUUUGGUGUGAAAUUCCUUGGCUUAACCAUGGAACUGCUGUGGAAACUGGUCAGCUGGAGUGCAGUAGAGGUAAGCGGAAUGCGUAGUGUAGCGGUGAAAUGCGUAGAUAUUAGGAGGAACACCAGUGGCGAAGGCGGCUUACUGGACUGUAACUGACGUUGAAGCUCGAAAGCGUGGGGAGCAAACAGGAUUAGAUACCCCAGUAGUC